rnacentral:rRNA from 1 species
UACGGGGGGAGCAAACGUUGUUCGGAAUCACUGGGCGUAAAGGGCGUGUAGGCGGCUGAAUAAGUGGGAUGUUAAAUCCCCCGGCUCAACCGGGGACCUGCAUCUCAUACUGUUCAGCUCGAGCACAUCAGAGGAGACUGGAAUUCCCGGUGUAGCGGUGAAAUGCGUAGAUAUCAGUCGGAACACCGGUGGCGAAGGCGGCUUCUUGGGCCAUUCCUGACGCUGAGGCGCGAAAGCUAGGGGAGCGAACGGG